rnacentral:rRNA from 1 species
AGCAGCCGCGGUAAUUCCAGCUCCAAUAGCGUAUAUUAAAGUUGUUGCAGUUAAAAAGCUCGUAGUUGAAUUUCGGGAUCAAUAUGCCGGUCAUGCCUUGGUAUGCACUGGUAUCUUUGAUUCCUCCCUUCUGACGAACUUUGAUGUCAUUAAUUUGGUGUCAUAGGGAAUCAGGACUGUUACUUUGAAAAAUUGAGUGUUUAAAGCAAGCUCACGCUUGAAUACAUUAGCAUGGAAUAAUGAAAUAGGACGUUUGAUUCUAUUUUGUUGGUUUCUAGGAUUCGACGUAAUGAUUAAUAGGGAUAGUUGGGGGCAUUAGUAUUCAAUUGUCAGAGGUGAAAUUCUUGGAUUUAUUGAAGACUAACUACUGCGAAAG